rnacentral:rRNA from 1 species
GCAGUCGAGGGGAGCAUUUCAGUUUGCUUGCAACUGGAGAUGGCGACCGGCGCACGGGUGAGUAACACGUAUCCAACCUGCCGAUAACUCGGGGAUAGCCUUUCGAAAGAAAGAUUAAUACCCGAUGGUAUAAUUAGACCGCAUGGUCUUGUUAUUAAAGAAUUUCGGUUAUCGAUGGGGAUGCGUUCCAUUAGGCAGUUGGUGAGGUAACGGCUCACCAAACCUUCGAUGGAUAGGGGUUCUGAGAGGAAGGUCCCCCACAUUGGAACUGAGACACGGUCCAAACUCAUACGGGAGGCAGCAGUGAGGAAUAUUGGUCAAUGGGCGCAGGCCUGAACCAGCCAAGUAGCGUGAAGGAUGACUGCCCUAUGGGUUGUAAACUUCUUUUAUAUGGGAAUAAAGUUUUCCACGUGUGGAAUUUUGUAUGUACCAUAUGAAUAAGGAUCGGCUAACUCCGUGCCAGCAGCCGCGGUAAUACGGAGGAUCCGAGCGUUAUCCGGAUUUAUUGGGUUUAAAGGGAGCGU